CAAAAAUCAAUCAAAACUUGUACUUGCUAACAUUAUAUGUUUUUGAAAAGAGAGAAAGUAGUGGAGUAGUAUUCCUAUUCCUAUUCCAAUUCCUACUCCUAUUCCUAUUGAAUUAAAGUGAGCAGAGCAGCCAUACAACGUUGUAAGUAAAUUGUAACCUCCAAAACCGUAGCCAUCAAUGUCAAUGUGACUUGUAAGAUUGUUUGCUCCAAAACGAAACGAAACGAAACGUGUCGUGUAAGAGUAUGUUUGAAUAAUUAAAAAAUGG
rnacentral:lncRNA from 1 species